GACGAACGCUGGCGGCGUGCCUAAUACAUGCAAGUCGAGCGGACGAAUCGAAAGCUUGCUUUUGAUUCGUUAGCGGCGGACGGGUGAGUAACACGUGGGCAACCUGCCCUGUAGACGGGGAUAACACCGAGAAAUCGGUGCUAAUACCGGAUAACACGAAAUGUCGCAUGACGUUUCGUUGAAAGACGGCGCAAGCUGUCGCUACAGGAUGGGCCCGCGGCGCAUUAGCUAGUUGGUGAGGUAACGGCUCACCAAGGCGACGAUGCGUAGCCGACCUGAGAGGGUGAUCGGCCACACUGGGACUGAGACACGGCCCAGACUCCUACGGGAGGCAGCAGUAGGGAAUCUUCCGCAAUGGACGAAAGUCUGACGGAGCAACGCCGCGUGAGCGAAGAAGGCCUUCGGGUCGUAAAGCUCUGUCGUUAGGGAAGAACAAGUAACGCAGUAACUGGCGUUACCGUGACGGUACCUAACGAGAAAGCCACGGCUAACUACGUG
rnacentral:rRNA from 1 species